GAGUAGAAAACACAAUCUAAGAGAGAAAGAAAAGGAAAUGAAUGCAUUCAUGUGCUUGUGCUGGAAAGAACAAAACUGAGAGGUAGAGAGAGAGUGAGAGAGAGAGAGAGAGAGAGACCAACUCUAUGUGCUGGAAUGGUGAAGGAAAAGCAAGGGGAAGCUUGGGAAAAGUGGAGAGUUGAAGAGAGACUCAAGAAAUUGCGAAGAAAUUCAUCCAAUUGAGGGUUUUGGGGUUAAACGCAAGGACGAAUCAAGCACCAGAACAUUGUGAUCAGGCACGUAACCAGGCUUAGAGGCGAGUGCCUGGAAUCUAUUUUUGGCAGCCAACUUAUGUGCCUCCUGUGGAGGUUCCAGUUAUGUCAAGUGGUUAUGACCAUAUGAUUAAAGUUCAAGUUUUGUUUUCUUGUUUGUUUAAACAAGUCUUUGUUAUUUUGUAAAUAGGGCUAAGUCCCAUUUUGUCUAAUCUGUAUAUAUGUAAUGACGCAAGAAUGAUGUCUAGACAUGUAUAUGAAAAUUUUAAAAUUUUCGGUUCCAUAUAAGUCUGUACAGCUCAAUGGAUGUUGUAUAUUUGUUAUUUGCUUCUGCAAGCCCCUAAUAUUAUGUUAUUCUGUCUCA